rnacentral:tRNA from 1 species
GGCUGGUUAGCUCAGUCAGUUGAGCGUAGCGCUAAGGUCACGGGUUCGAUUCCCGUUCGGUCC